ensembl:lncRNA
CACACACACACACACAUACUGCACUGAAUUCAGGUGUAAUCCGACUGAAAUGGAAAUUGCGCUCCUUGAAAACGGAUGAUGAGAGGAAGAUGGCAGGGCCGGCGUCGUGCUCCAUCAGAGAGGGUCAUGGGGGGCCUGGAGCCUAUCCCAGGGGCACAAGACAGGGGACACCAUGGACAGAGUGCCAACCCAUUGUAGGGCACAAUCACACACACAGUACAGACAAUUUAGAAAUGUCAAUCAGCCUACAACAUAUGACUCUGCUGGGUGGAAACCAGGAAGCAUGGGGAGAACGUACAAACUACAAACGGAGGCAGGAAUCGCACUCCCAACCCUGGAGGUGCGAGGCAGACGUGCUAACCACUAAGCCACCGAGGAACUACUACUGCCCCAAAUUUCAUUUUAGAGUGUAUAGACCUCUAAAUGAAAAAGACCUGUUCUUUCUCACUGAUACAGGGAAUAUUUGUUGGUGAUGGUUGGUGGCGGUCAUUUGCUCCGCUACGUGCAGAAUAUGACUGUGCAAAUAUUAGGAGCUCCUCUGCAACGUGAACUUGCACAAGCUGCUUGCUAAUGCAGCCGUAUUACAGCUUCUUUACAACUGGAAGUUACUAGCUAGCAAUGAAACUUAAUGGAUAUUUAACACUUAAGCAUUAGUGGGAAAGGAGAAUGUUUUACCUGCAUCGUCCUGUUCAUCUCUCUCAUUGUUAUUGCUGCUCUGCCCUUUCCCUCUCUCUUCCACCUCCCUCUGACCCUAAGUAGCGUUCAUAUCGUAGCCAAAUAGGAAACAAGGUGUGUUUUCUCUGAAUGUCAUUCAUAUAUAUAUAUAUAUACGUUCAUAUAUGACAUCUGACUCAAAUAUAGUGGGAAACACUUAGAUGCAUGGCAGGUAAAACACUUUCAACAGUUUAUUUUAAAUUAUUCUGGCUUAAGACAUUUGGGCAGUAAAAUAUAAGCGGUUUUAUGUAUGGUGUGAAUGUUCACUGUGGAUCAUUUUUAUGUGCUUUUAAUAUCAACUCCAAAAUCUGAGCAAACUGUAAUAGAGAAAGAAACAGUUGACUUUACAAACUGGCAUCCACACUGAUGCAGAGUUUUCAAAAGUUUCUUAAAGUAAUGAGAAAUAUGAUUUUGAAGUUAAGAGCUUAUUCAAGAGAAAUAUAUAGAACAUACUUAUUAUGCGUGACAGUCCCUAAGCUUAAAGUACCUGUUUAGGAUUCAUCGGUUCGGUUCAAAUCUUAUUUCCCAGCUUAUGCUUAAUUCCUCUAUAGAAAUAUCAAUUAUUUUCCUAAUGUAUUUCAAAUCCUCAUCUUCAACCAUGCUGUUAUCCUACAAAGCCUCAGUCGAACAGGACAAAUGGUCUUAAUGAAGGUGGAACGUGCAGAGAAAAUAAGAUGUUUGGUGUUAUGCAGACCCUGAAGCAAACAAAGCUCCCUAUACACCUUUUGUUGACAAAAAUAUAUACGUUUAGAACUGUAUAGUACAGUACAUUUUAUUAGCGGAGCGGUUGUAUAAACUCACUCUAAUAGAAAGGUUAGAUAAGUGAAUUAAUCCAGGUUUGUCCUUAUGACAAUAACAUUGUUAGAAUGUGUUUAUUUUGAACAUAACAAACAUAUGAACAGGGAGGCACGGUGGCUUAGUGGUUAGUAUGUUUGCCUCGUUCCUCCAGGGUUGGGGGUUUGAUUCCCGCCUCUGCUCUGUGUGCAUGGGGUUUGCAUGUUCUCCCCAUGCCUCGGAGGUUUCCUUCGGGUACUCCGGUUUCCUCCCCCAGUCCAAAGACAUGCAUCGUAGGCUGAUUGUCAUUUCUUAAAUAAAAAUUGUCCUUAGUAUGUGAUUGUGCCCUGUGGUGGCUUGGGCACCCUGUCCAGGGUGUCCCCUGCCUUGUGCCCCAAGUCUCCUAGGAUAGGAUCCAGGCUCCCUGAGACCCUGUGUUGGAUAAGCUGUACAGAAAACGGAUGGAAGUAUAUGCAAAUGUUCUACAUGUUAAACAUUUUGCCAUACACAUCUAUGCCCUCGUUGAUACGUUAAAUAUAUUAUGGUUAUUAAUGUAAGUGCAAAUGACGUGGAGCUCAUAUUCUUCCUAUUAAGGUUAAAUUGAUCACAUAAAGGAACAUAAAGUCUAAUAUAAGCAACACUAUACCGUAUGUUCAUUUUGAAACAUAUUACACAUGAGAGAUAUUUAAAAAUGUUGUAUUUGCAGUUAUACAAACAGAUAUAUCAUAUUUACCGUAUGUGCCCUUUAAAUGGUGGUAUAAGGGCCUUCUCAGGUUGUAAACCAGAAAAUAGGAUUUAAAAGAAAAGCCAGCUCUGUGUGCUGUAUGACACAAUCAUGUAAUGAUUGAAUGUCCAUCAAAUGGGUUUACAAAUUAAAAACAUGAAGAAUGUCUUUCAUCUGAGUGCCAAGGCCACAUCUGGGAGACAUAUGUCCUAGUGAAACGCAUCUACCCAUGCUGAGGGCUGUAGUCGUAUUCGGCCAGUCAUCUUCCGCACAUUCGGCUCAAACUUCUAAGCCUUCUUCAGUGUAUUAUAUUUACUUUGAUAUGUGCGACUGUCCUUGUGUUCGUGUGGAUUUCCGUAAGGUGUGUAAGUGUGUUUGUGUAAGUAAACCCACUCCACCAACCCCCCCGCCCCCCACCCCCCCAAAAAAACCUUGUUCAAACCUAACCAGACAUUAGUGGGAUUGUGGGCCUCCAGCAUUUCAAACACCUUAAUUAGUUAUUCAGCUCCUUAUUUGUGUUUGCUUCCCCCUCCGGCGCCUAAUUAAUGCUUAAUGGAAACUGCUGAACUGAGCCUGUGGAGAGCUCAUGAAUAUUGAAAUUAGCCUGAACGAUUUUUAAAGGGUUGCAGAGGGGAAAGAGGUUAGAAUUGGUAGCACUGGCACUCAUUAUUGUUGUGAGAUAUAUGCUUAUGAUGCACCUAUACAAAUAUAUACAUACAUGUAGUUAAAAGAAUUUCUUCAGUAACAGUAUAAUAAUUGAACACAUACAGACUAAAAUAUAUUUCAAGUGUAUACCACCUUUACCCUCUUAGCACGAUUUACCUUUUUACAUUUUUUAAAAUUGUAUUUGAUGCUCAUGACAUCAGUCAUAAAAGUUCUCAACUCAUUAUAUUCCGCGAAACUGCCAAACUACUCCAGAAGGAUUUAUACAUAAUGCUGAUUAUCUAAAAAUGGAAGACUUGAUGACUUGAACUGUAGUUUUCAUGCCAUAACCAUAAAGGUAAUACAUCUUAACGAUUAGCACAUGAAAUUGUAAACAUGUUUAUUAAUUUUCCCUCGAAAAAAAAAAAAAAAAAAGGGCUCUGUGAACUGAAAGGGACUGCAAGCAGAAAAUCAUUUAAAAAUAUACACUAAUAGGAGAAAUUUUUUACAUAAUUUAUAAACAAAUUUAUAAUUCAAAUGUGUUUUAUUCAAAUCCGUAGCAUUUCUAUUGUCAUGAUUAUUCAAGUCUGUAGAACAGUUGCAGAUUUACCACAACUUCAUUUAAAUUACAUUUAUGAAAAAUUAUGCCCAUUCUUUAAACGGAACAGGGAAACAAGGCCUGUUUUCAGACCAGUGGUUUAACAGAGACUGGCAUCAGAGUCACUAACUUUCAUAGAAGUUAUUCAAAUGCAGUUUGACUUAUGACAAGAUACGCAGUUCGCGAAGCCGAACAUUCCCAUUAGUGCAUCCCGCAUUAGCAUAACAAGGCCUCUUCUGGCAGUUUAGUUUUCCUGACAUCCGCAAAGUCUGUUAAGAAAUGCAGGACUCAUCGGUGGAAGAUGACUGCAUAUCUGUCCAGCCAUGUGAGCAAUCCAAGAUCAUGCAGUGAUAAAACAUUGCCUGAAGUUACCAGCAAUGUGUAUGUAAAUGAGCAUUUUCCUGAAAAGAACUGUGAAAUCUCAACUUAUGAGGACCUUUAAAAACAUUCAUCUGACAUAGUGUAAUGCUGACAGUAUGACUGGCAUGUUUUAGAUUUGGUUUGGGGUUUUUUCGAGGAAUUUUGUGGACAUGAAUGGAAUAAAAAAAAAAGGUACCACAGGAAUUAUCAAAGGAAAAAUAUGUAUCAAAGGAAAAGAAUAUCAAAAGGAUCACAGAAAUUACAAUGCAUACAGUGUUUUCAUGCAUAUACAGAACCAGUAAAGUGGGAUUUUUACCAGAAGAGUAGAGAAAAAUGGCGAUCUGUUUAGCUGUUAAUUUACUUUUUUUUUUUUUUUUUUUUAAAUUAAUUUUAUUUAAUUACAAGAGACACUAAUUUGUUUCUUCAUGGUCUUCUAAGUUUGUGAAAAUAUCUAUUUAAGUUCAUCCAGUCUCUUUAACAUAUUACUUGGAAGAAAGAAAAAAAAAAGAUUUCUUGUGAUUAAAUUUUUUUUUUUAUAUAUAUAUUUGAAAGAUAUAAAUGCAUUCACAUGAAUUAGUGUACAAUGGUCACAUAUAAUUAAAGCAUAAUACCUUCAGCUGGAAUACAGGGAGCUUACUGCAUAAUAUAUUACUAUGCAAAUGUGGAAUUAAUAAAUCUGUUAUUUAUAUAUUUUUGACCUUUUCUUGAUCUUUUUGGUCUAGCUGUGAACACUUUUUUAAAAAAUAGUAAACGCUUGGUAAUCCUGUCUACAACGAACACGAAUAAAUAAAUAAAUAAAUAAAUAAAUAAAUAAGAUCUUUUCUUAGGAUGGUGACAGUUAUGAUCAUAGACACUUGAUAACUUAAGGGUACAUUCAGUAGGUAAAACUUUUCGCUGUUGUCACUUUCCAUACAAGUUCUGUGCAGUUAAAAUCUAGGAGUCAUGGGUCACAGAAGAGCAGCAAGCAUUGUUUUAGGCAGUGAAAUAUUAGCGGUGAUAAACAUUAAGGGCUCCGUCAAGCCCUGUUAGAUAUCCUCGAUGUGGUUCAGUCAUUCUGUGUUCCCAGGGCAAGGACUAUUUAAUUAUCACACUAAAUGAAUAAUCAAAAAGUCAAUUUCCAAAGAACCCCCUGCUUGCCUGCAUGAAGAAGACAAUUGCAUUUAUAAUAUCUGUAUGCAAAAUCUGUCUCUCACCCCCCCACCACCUCCAUACACCCCCGCAUGCCUUGGAGCUAUGCAAAACAAAUGCAUAUGAAUCCCUCCCCCUUCCGUGAUUUAAAGUUGUCCUUUACAGCUAAUGAAAUGUUGUAGCGGUUCUCACUGCCUAGCAUGAAGAAGGAGACUGAUGGUACAUCAUGUUCUACACCACUCUUUAAGUGAUCUUUAUUGAUCUAUUUGUGCAAGGCAUGUCAAAAGAGGUUAAUUAUUCAAUAACCGAUCACUUGCUGGCCUUGACAAGCAUGCAGAUUGUGUAUGUACGAGGGAAUGCGAAUCAAACUGUAUCGGUGCGUCACGAUUUAGUGCAACAUUUACUUCCACACCAUCUUAGCAAUCAACAUGGGUAAUCAGAUUGACU